GAUGAAGAACGCAGCGAAAUGCGAUACUUGGUGUGAAUUGCAGAAUCCCGUGAACCAUUGAGUCUUUGAACGCAAGUUGCGCCCGAAGCCAUUAGGCCGAGGGCACGCCUGCCUGGGUGUCACACACCGUUACCCUCGCGCCAACGUCCAUCGUUGGCCGCGGCGCGGGGCGUGCGCUGACCUCCCGCGAGCGGGGUCUCGUGGUUGGUUGAAAAUCGAGUUCGCGGUCGAGGGUGCCGUGAUGAAAUGGUGGAUGGGCGACGCCCGAGGCCAAUCACGCGCGACUCUGUCCGGCUCGNNNUCCUGGACCCCUUCGGCGUCUCCGGACGCUCUUUGGCGAGACCUCAGGUCAGGCGGGGCUACCCGCUGAGUUUAAGCAUAUCAAUAAGCGGAGGA
rnacentral:misc_RNA from 1 species